rnacentral:tRNA from 1 species
GACGCCAGGUUUUCAUCCUGGUAGCAGGGGUUCGAAUCCCCUACGGGCUACUA